ACGUAGGUGGCAAGCGUUGUCCGGAAUUACUGGGUGUAAAGCGCGCGUAGGCGGUAGGCCAAGUCUGCUGUGAAAUCUCCCGGCUCAACUGGGAGGGUGCGCCGAAUACUGAAUGACUUGGAGUGCGGGAGAGGAAAGUGGAAUUCCUGGUGUAGCGGUGAAAUGCGUAGAUAUCAGGAGGAACACCGGUGGUGUAGACGGCUUUCUGGACCGUAACUGACGCUGAGACACGAAAGCGUGGGUAGCAAACAGGA
rnacentral:rRNA from 1 species